rnacentral:misc_RNA from 1 species
GGAAGCAAGAACUUGUUCCCAUUGACAAUAGCUUACAUCUUCUGGUGUUCCUUCUCCAUUUUUUGGAGCUGAGAAAUGAAGAGCGAAGCAAAUUUUUAGAUAUGCUAGGGAGCUAGGACUAAAAUGCACAACUGAGUAGGAGUUGAAGCCCCAAGAGAGUCUGGAACGUCUGGAUAUAUCCAGACCAAUAAGUUUUUGGUCAAAUCGAAAAUUGGAAAAGCUGCUCAUCAUACUAAGCGAUUUCAGGCUACAAAACCCAACAUAGACAUGGUUGAACAUAGCCGCAAACGAAAAUUUUAUGCUAAGCUUUUUGAAUUUGAAGAUAAACUUUUAGAACAUGGUUAUUCUGACACAGAAAUUGCAAAGAUGCUUGAUGAAACUGGGAGGAAUUUGGAUGCCUCUAUAGCUGCGCCUGAAGUGGAAGAUCCAGUGUUCUGUUAUUAUUUCUUAUUUCCUUUCCUUUUUCUGUGUAUGUUUGCAAGAAAUUAAAACGAAUGAUAUACCAAAAAUAUAAAAUAGCUAAAUUUGUUUUUAAAGAUUCUAAAUUCCUGCAAGAUUAUAUGUUCAACUCCUAUCCGGAGGAAACAUAAUUACCUAUGCACAGCCAGAAGCAAAACCCAACAAGGCAGGAUAAAUUCCUUGACAUUUGCAUCUGUCUGACUCAUUCACGACUUCAUAGCCUGAUCAAAGUAUUCACUUUCUUGGUCUGAAUAUCAUACAUUUUCUUUACUGCAUCUUUGAUUUUCUUCUUGUCUGCACGAAUGUCAACAAUAAACACAAGUGUGUUGUUGUCCUCAAUCUUCUUCAUGGCAGACUCGGUAGUUAGUGGAUACUUCAGAAUCUGAUAGUGGUCCAACUUGUUUCUUGGUGGAGCACUGAUGCGAGGAUACUUUGGGUUUCUCUCCUUCUUCAAUGUCUUGGGCCGGUGGAAUGUGACCUUUGUCCUGAUCUUCUUAGCUUUCUUCUUAAAUGUUGGUCCUGAUUUCACAGCCUUGGCAGCUUUGACAGCUUGCGCCUUUGGAUCAUUCUUUUUGGUAGCAUCAGCUGCAAGAAGUGAAGACAAGUUUUUGUAGCACCAAAUAAAAACCAGAUACAGGACGCAUAUUUCUGAGAUUAAAGGAGGUAAAAAGUAGACGUGCACAACAAUGCAUUUGAAAACUCCAUGUCCAAGGCCAGGCCAAUAAACUCAAAAUCACAAUAAGCUGAGCAAACAUCAAUUGCCGUGGCAAAAAUGUGCAUUCUACUGAGAUUUCUUUUUUUCAAAUUUUGUCCAAUAUUAAAGCCUAUGAAAACAAAAAAUAAUUUUAAUUUUAGAAACAAUAUCUUAAUAUUUCCAAUUCUUUCUCUACACAAAAACAUAAGACUGGCUAUCAUGAUAAUUUCGUGAUUAAUAGUUUCCUGUCCUAAUACAGCAUCUUCCUUCUCCUUUUACGAUUACCAGUUUGGCCAACACAGAUGUACGCUUAUAGCCUUAUACAAAUUAAAUAGCUAAGACAAAGUUUUUGUUAUUCAUUUUAAAAAAUACUAUAUAUUGAUGCAUUUAAUUAGAUUUAAAGACACUAGGUUAAAAUCUUAAAUGUGAAUAAAAACCUCAUUUGAAUAUGGAUUAGAAAUAGCUAAUAAAAAAGCCAUUACCCCAAAUAUGACACCAAUCUCAUUCAAGAAUUUAAUUAAUUAACAAAUAAGUUAACUUUCAACUACAAAUUUAAAUCACUAACUUCAAGUCUUUCCAUUCAAACAUCGCACAUCCAUUGCAUACAACAAUCGGGCACCAUUCAAGGAAUUGUCAGCAUAUAAAAACAGCCCCAACAACUAAUAGACAGGCAACACACUACUAUUAGAAACUAACACGCUACCAUUGGAAAUAACCAAGAAAGCCAAUUUACACGGUCAAGAAUACACCCUUAAUAAGCAAAAACAAGACUACAGCUAGGGACAUAAAAUAUAAAUUAUCCGAAAAAAGGCUAGUCUUUUGAAGUCCUAACAGAAACCCAAACCUCAAUUUCUAUUAAGAUCAGAAAACUAGCUCCAUGCGAACAUAUAGACAAUAUAAUAAUGCACCCCAAAUAGU